UACAGAGGGUGCAAGCGUUGUUCGGAAUCAUUGGGCGUAAAGGGCGUGUAGGCGGUUUGUUAAGUCAUGUGUGAAAUCCCUCGGCUCAACCGGGGAACGACGCUUGAAACUGGCAAGCUAGAGUACCAAAGAGGGCGGUGGAAUUCCCGGUGUAGCGGUAAAAUGCUCAAAUAUAUAGAGGAACACCAAUUGGCGAAGGCAGUUAACUAUUCGGUUCCUGACGUUGAGGCACGAAAGCGUGGGGAGCAAGACGG
rnacentral:rRNA from 1 species